GUGUCAGCAGCCGCGGUAAUACGUAGGUGGCAAGCGUUGUCCGGAUUUAUUGGGUUUAAAGGGUGCGUAGGCGGCUUUGUAAGUCAGUGGUGAAAUAUGGCAGCUCAACUGUCAGGGUGCCAUUGAUACUGCGGAGCUUGAGUACAGAUGAGGUAGGCGGAAUUGACGGUGUAGCGGUGAAAUGCUUAGAUAUCGUCAAGAACACCGAUAGCGAAGGCAGCUUACUGGGCUGUAACUGACGCUGAGGCACGAAAGUGUGGGGAUCAAACAGGAUUAGAAACCCCCGUAGUCC
rnacentral:rRNA from 1 species